rnacentral:rRNA from 1 species
UGGGGAAUAUUGCACGAUGGGCGCAAGCCUGAUGCAGCCAUGCCGCGUGUGUGAAGAAGGCCUUCGGGUUGUAAAGCACUUUCAGUGAGGAGGAAGGGUUCAGUGUUAAUAGCACUGUUCAUUGACGUUACUCGCAGAAGAAGCACCGGCUAACUCCGUGCCAGCAGUCGCGGUAAUACGGAGGGUGCAAGCGUUAAUCGGAAUUACUGGGCGUAAAGCGCACGCAGGCGGUUUGUUAAGUCAGAUGUGAAAUCCCGCGCUUAACGUGGGA